UAUUUUUAAAUCAGCUAUUA
rnacentral:miRNA from 1 species